UUAUUUGUUUUAUAAUUUUAUACAUUCUUUGACUAGUGUUUUGUAAGGUGAGCCCGUGGCAGAGUAAACUGCGGCACGGACAUGAUAAGAUGCACAGAGUUGGAAAUGAGGGUUUGAGCGCCGAGGCGACUCAAGUAUUCAUUAAUGAUCCUUCCGCAGGUUCACCUACGGAAA
rnacentral:misc_RNA from 1 species